rnacentral:rRNA from 1 species
UACGUAGGUGGCGAGCGUUGUCCGGAUUUACUGGGCGUAAAGGGAGCGUAGGCGGACUUUUAAGUGAGAUGUGAAAUACUCGGGCUCAACUUGAGUGCUGCAUUUCAAACUGGAAGUCUAGAGUGCAGGAGAGGAGAAUGGAAUUCCUAGUGUAGCGGUGAAAUGCGUAGAGAUUAGGAAGAACACCAGUGGCGAAGGCGAUUCUCUGGACUGUAACUGACGCUGAGGCUCGAAAGCAUGGGGAGCAAACAGG